rnacentral:misc_RNA from 1 species
UUUCCGUAGGUGAACCUGCGGAAGGAUCAUUACUGAGUGAGGGCCCUCUGGGUCCAACCUCCCACCCGUGUUAAUUGUACCUUGUUGCUUCGGUGCGCCCGCCUCACGGCCGCCGGGGGGCUUCUGCCCCCGGGUCCGCGCGCACCGGAGACACCAUUGAACUCUGUCUGAAGAUUGCAGUCUGAGCAUAAACUAAAUAAGUUAAAACUUUCAACAACGGAUCUCUUGGUUCCG